CCGGUCUUCAUUGAGAAUUACAAGAGUGUGUUCUUCAAGUGUACAGCGAUGAGCGAGCCGCUUUACCGCACUGUGCAGCUGCCUGUGAUGUUGGAGCAUAAGCGGACUCACCAACUGUUGAUGAGACUCACUACAUCAGAUCUUCAAGGAUGAAGCUUAAAAAAAACAUUAAGGAAUGACAUGCUGUCAGCAAAGAUUUCAGUCCCGCAA